UUUACCUCUCACCAGUUUAUAAUUAUAUUUAUAAAUGGAGUGGCUUUUUUCCAGAACAAAUCACAGUUCUGAACAAUUUUUUAAAUUAUUUUUAAUUAGCAGGUCCCAAAUGUUUUUUAGGGGAUCUUUCAAGAGUGACUAUACAGCACCAAAAAGCACAUUGUGAGUUAUUGCUAUGCAUGGUAUUGUUAUUAUUAAACCCAUUGUUUACCCUGCCAUCUGAGCAGCCAUGGACACAGAUAUGGAUGGAUCCACCAACUGGUGCAAUAUUAUGCAAAUAGAUGUUCCAGGACCUUCCAACUUAACCCUUAUUAACCAGCAGUGCCGCCUGUCCUCCAGUGAUACAAUCAUGGAUCUGGACAGAGGAGUGGACCCAGAGACAGGAGAACGAGCCCAGGGGUGGAUCCUCGCCUCUCGCUCAUGAACACAAAUCUGUGGCAUGCUGGAUAUUGCAACCCAUGACUGAUAAUCUGGGUUAUUUGAAGUUUAGAAAAUCUGAACACUUCCACUGGACUCAAGUAUUGUCUGUUAUCUGUGCAUGAUAAAGGGUAUAUUACAAUAUUCUAAGGGUGAUGCUUUUUAAAAUUUAUUCUACUGUAUUUUUUGUUUGUUUUUGCGUG